rnacentral:rRNA from 1 species
UCAUUAGUCUUUUAAUUGGGGGCUUGUAUGAAGGGUUGGACAAAGGAAAAACUGUCUUUAAUUUAAGGUUUGAAUUUAACUUUUAAGUGAAAAGGCUUAAUUGUGUUUAAGGGACGAUAAGACCCUAUAAAUUUUUAUAUUAAAUUAGUUUACUUGUAAAGUAAUUUUGUGCUUGGUUUAAAUUAAAUUAAAAAAUAUUUUAUUGGGGUGAUAAGAAUAUUUAAUUAACUGUUCUUAAUUUUAUACAAAUUUGUUUGUUUAUGUUAAUAGAUCCUUUUUAAAGAGUGAAAGGUUAAGUUACUUUAGGGAUAACAGCGUUAUUUUUUUUGAGAGUUCUUAUCGAAAAAAUAGUUUGCGACCUCGAUGUUGAAUUAAAAUUUCUUUGUGGUGUAGCAGCUAUGGGAAGAGAGUCUGUUCGACUUUU